rnacentral:snRNA from 1 species
GUGCUCGCUUCAGCAGCACAUGCACUGAAAGUGGAACGACCCAGAGAAGACUGGCAUGGCCCUGUGCAAGGAUGACACACAAAUUCAUGAAGCCUUCCACAUUUUA